rnacentral:rRNA from 1 species
CGCGCAGGCGGUCGUCCAAGUCGCGUGUGAAAGCCCCCGGCUCAACUGGGGAGGGUCACGCGAUACUGAUCGACUCGAAGGCAGGAGAGGGUAGUGGAAUUCCCGGUGUAGUGGUGAAAUGCGUAGAUAUCGGGAGGAACACCAGUGGCGAAGGCGACUACCUGGCCUGUUCUUGACGCUGAGGCGCGAAAGCUAGGGGAAGCAAACG